UACGGAGGGUGCAAGCGUUAUCCGGAUUCACUGGGUUUAAAGGGUGCGUAGGCGGGCAGGUAAGUCAGUGGUGAAAUCUCCGAGCUUAACUCGGAAACUGCCAUUGAUACUAUUUGUCUUGAAUAUUGUGGAGGUAAGCGGAAUAUGUCAUGUAGCGGUGAAAUGCUUAGAUAUGACAUAGAACACCAAUUGCGAAGGCAGCUUACUACACAAUGAUUGACGCUGAGGCAUGAAAGCGUGGGGAUCAAACAGG
rnacentral:rRNA from 1 species